CACGAGGCCAGGAGCAGCAGAGGUGCCGGACAGCACGAGGAGGUGGGAGAGGUGUGAGCAGCAGACAGAGGUGGAUGGAGUGCUGGAUGCCCGCUGCCCCCUGACAGCAGCUUUGGGGCUGGAGGAGAGCCCCGAGGGGAGCCAGAGCUGUCCUUGCCCAGGGAGCCUGGUCCUGGCAGCCAGUCCCACCGUGCCUGCUGUCACUGUCCUGUCCUGCCCCUGGUGCCACGAGUCCUGUCCUCAUCUCCUGCAGCUCUUGGUGCACACUGGAGAGCACCUGGGGCCAGGUGUUCCCUGUAAAACUGGAACUGUGUUCAGGCGUUCCUCCAAGAUCCAGCUGAGACAGAUGCUCUUCCCAGUGGGGCCAUUUGCACCUGCUUUGGCCUCUCCUGAGCAGGGCUGUGGUAGCUCCGUGCUUCAAGCCUUGAGGAAGCUCUCCCAUCUCAAGUUCCAGUGUUUACUCACUAAGCUGAAAGCCUGUCAGAGUCAUGCCUCCUGCUCCUGAUUUUCACUGGGGAAAGGCAGAGCUGCAGACCCAGAGGUGCUGCAGGGAUGGGCCAGCAAAGACAGUUUUUCUUUGAGUGCAGAAGGAAACACUGACUCAUGAUUUACAUGGGGAGGAUUUCUGGCCACCUGGUCCAUAUUAUAGCAUUGCAUGUGCUAUUUUUGCUCUUAUUUCAAUGUGUAUUUCCAAAGGAGGAUCAUGAAAGCUAAGAGAAGAAGAAGAAGACAUCAGGGCCGUGUUGUGACUGAGAUUUUACACACAUAAAAGCCCUUAAGCACUGCUGUGUAAAACCCAUUGGUUUCACUUCACAGGGGCUGUGACAAGAUUUGCUCUGGCUUUUGAUGCCCGUCAG
rnacentral:lncRNA from 1 species